rnacentral:rRNA from 1 species
CACGUGAGGAACUUGCCCAUGAGCGGGGGACAACAUUCGGAAACGGAUGCUAAUACCCCAUAGGUGGAUUGGUCGCAUGACUAAUUCAUUAAAGGUGGCUCUGCUACCACUCAUGGAUAGCCUCGCGGCGUAUUAGCUAGUUGGUAAGGUAAUGGCUUACCAAGGCAGUGAUACGUAGCCGACUUGAGAGGGUGAUCGGCCACACUGGGACUGAGACACGGCCCAG